ensembl:lincRNA
AAGAAAGACAAACCCAAGCCCAUCUCACAUUGAAGCCCAUCUCCUACCCCACGUUAGGACUUCCUGCAUCUUUGCCAUUACAGGUGGACGUGGAGGACCUUGCACCUAGAGAACAGGUCAAAUCCUGGAUCUGUUCUCAACUCCAUGAUUUCAUAGAUCAUACUCUGGGGGCCCCAAUUUUAAUGUCAAUCACGUGAGGUCAGCUGUUUAGCUCAAACCCAAGUGUCCCUUCUAUCAAGUGACUGAAGAACUUGUCCCCCCGUGUGGGAUGGACAGGUGGUUAAAGAAAGUCAGGCUAGGUUAGGGAGGUAUAGAUGAGGGAGACGCUCACCCAAGAAAGGGAAAGGCACAGGAGUCCUGCUUCCUGCCCUGGGGCUGUUAAAAAUGUUCUCAGCAUCACUAUCAGGAAAUCGGCGCUGAAGGGUACUUUCUCCUAAGGAGGUCAAGUAUGUGUGAGCCCACCUUCAUUUCCGGCUGGAAAUACGAUUCAUUCGUUUCACCACUUUGGAGUACUUGGGAAGACGUUUUGAUGAAAGAAACUUGCCCGGUGCACAGUAGUCCUCAUUCCUUUCCAGAUUUCUCCGCGAUCUGGAAGAAGAGGAAGAAAAUCUCCAUGUCCCGAGCACCUAUGAACCAAGCAAAACGCCACCUGGUGGCGCUCUACCAAUCUGCUGUGUGUAAGAACUUCGAAAUUCCCAGCCGACCGCCCUUACACCUUCAAAGGUCCUUCACAGAAACGGUCAGAGGAAGUGAGCGGCGAGAGGCACGGUGUCCACCGUAUCUGAUUCCUUUCCCUGCUGGCCGCCAGCGUGGACUAGGAGGUUGUCGCUGGCGGAGGAAGAACGCAGCUGGAGAAGCCGGUGGCGGCACAUCCUGGCAGGAGAGUGUGCUGGAGAGAAACCAUUCACCUCCUGCCCGGGGGGGGGGGGACAAAACAGGAGGAAGCGGAAGUAGACAGGGUACUGACCUGGAACUCACUGUGAAGCCCAGGUUGGUCUCGAACUCACAGCGAUCCUCCUGCCUCAGCCUCCCGAGUGCUGGGACUACAGGCGUGCACCACCACGCCCGGCAUUAGUGCCUCUCUGGGGCAACACUUGAGAUGCAAACUGUAGCGGAUCCCUCCCCUAAACGUUCCCUGGCUCGUGGAGUGUGGAAGCCAACGGAGUCCAUGGAGCCUUGCCCGGCAGCCAAGUCCCUCUUACCAUUACAGCUAGAGUAUGUAUGUGAAAGAUUCCCCAGAAAUCAAAAUCCUCUAAUCACAAAAUUAUACCUGUGCCCCACCAGAGCACUCUAUAUACCCUACCCAUAUACAGUCAGCUCACUAACCAUAAUGUCAUGUUGUUAUAGCUAGGGGGUUCUAAUAAGAAUCUCUUCAGCUUGCGGGAAAACUUGCUAGGAGCUCUCAUAGGUGCUGGAGAUCUGUCAACACAACCAUCAAAAGUGCCCGGGUGGAGCUAUGUUGGGAGCAAGUCACAGAGGAACAACAGAAGGAAUCAGAUGAAGACCCUGGCUGUGGUGCCUGGUGCCUGCUAGUCGAAGGCGGACCACCUCCUUUGGGCUUUAUAGGGAGAAUCUGCUUGCACAGCGCUUGUCCCUUUCAAUGCUUGGGCUCCUGAAGAUGCUGCUCACGGCUCACCUCAGCCCUCACCAGUACAGUGAGGUUUUGUUUGUCUGAUGCCUGUGAGCUCUGCAGUCAUUUGGCUGCAAUCAUUGGGCCGGAAUCUCAGCUGUGUCUCACAGCUUCAGCAUUUUCAUCAGUUUGUUGUGUUGUUUUGGGAGACAGUCUCAUUAUGCAGUUCAGGCUGGCCUGGAACUCACAGCAAUCCUCCUGCCUCAGCCUCCCUACUGCUGGAAUUACAGGCAUGUGCCAACCCCGCCCCCGGCCUGUACUACAUUGUUGAGGGGAUAAUGACAAGGAAAAGGCCUGAGCCAGGCAUGGUAGGGCACACCUAUUGCAAGAGGCUGAAGCAGGAGUAUCACAAGUUUGAGCCCAGCCUGGGCAACUUAGCAAUCUAUUGAGACCUUGUUUCAAAACAAAAAAUAAAAAAGGGCUGGGAUGUAGUUCAGGUCAAAGGCCCUUGGUUCGAUCCCCAGCACCAUCUCAACUCCCUGGAGUCAGUGUUCAUUGUUGACAUUGUGUGUGUGUGUGUGUGUGUGUGUGUCUCUGGGGACUGAACUCAGGGAGCACUGAGCUUCAUCUCCAGCCCUUUUUGAAAAUUUUAGAAGAUGUUGGGAUGUCGCAUCAAUUGCCUAGGGUGACCUAGAACUUGCAGUCCUCCUGCCUGCUUCCUGGGUAGCUGGGAUCACAGGGGUUUGCGCUACCAUGCGUGGCCCGGUGCAAAAUUGUAAAGGAUAUUUUCAAUAUGCAAUAGGUUGAAUUCACGGACAGGGAACCUGUAGAUGGCUGACUGUACCUACCUUGUGGGUUUGUUCCGAGAACCCAGGGAGCUAAUGGUCAACAACAAUCUGGCAUGAAAAUUGGCACCUGAUGUCAAGGGUGGGGAGGGGGCUAAGUUGGCGAAGUAACUGCUGUACAUGGAAGCGUCCUGGGGCUCGGGAGUGAGCCCCGGGAGAAGAAUAAAGAAAAAGAAAAGAAUAAAGAGAUAGAGGUUCAUCUUCUAUGACUCCUCAGUUUGCCCCAAGUCCCUGAGCAACUUCAACCCUCUGUCUGGGGCUGGACUGCUCUCUCUUCCCACGUACCCAACCCGCCCCUCGGAGAGAAUCACACAGAGGCAC